GCAAUCAAUAAAACAAGGAGUGUACAUAGAACAAUAUCGGAUCUCUGAAAAGUAUAAGCAUGCAUAUGGACUCAGUACUUGUUUUGGGCCCCUUUUGCAGCAAUUACUGCCUCAAUGCAGCGUGGCAUGGAAGCUAUCAGCCUGUGGCACUGCUGAGGUGUUAUGGCGGCCUUCAGCUCUUCUGCAUUGUUCGGUCUCAUCUUUCUCAUGGCAAUGCCCCAUAGAUUCUCUAUGGGGUCCAGGUCAGGUGAGUUUGCUGGCCAAUCAAGUACAGCAAUCCCACGGUCACUGAACCAGGCUUUGGUGCUUUUGGCAGUGUGGGCAGGUGCCAAGUCCUGCUGGAAAAUAAGGUCAGCAUCCCCAUAAAGCCCGCCUGAGGAAGGAAGCAUGAAGUGCUCCAAAAUCUCCGGGUAGACCGCUGCGUUGACCCUGGACUUAAUGAAGCACAGUGGACCAACACCAGCAGAUGACAUGGCUCCCCAAAUCAACACAGACUGUGGAAACUUCACACUGGACUACAAGUAACUUGCAGUGUGUGCCUCUCCAUUCUUCCUCCAGACUCUGGGUCCUUGGUUUCCAAAUGAGAUGCAAAAGUUGCUCUCAUCAGAAAAGAGGACUUUGGACCACUGAGCAACAGACCAGAUUUUUCUUUAGCCCAGGUAAGACGCUUCUGAUGUUGUUUGUUGUUCAGGAGCGGCUUGACAAAAGGAAUACGACAUCUGAAGCCCAUGUCCAGGAUCCGUCUGUGUGGUGGCUCUUGCUGCACUGACUCCAGCCUCAGUCCUCUCCUUGUGAAAGUCCCCAACACUUUUGAAUGGCCUUUUCCUGACAAUCCUCUCCAGGCUGUGGUCAUCCCUGCUGCUUGUGCACCUUUUUCUUCCACACUUUUCCCUUCCACAUAACUUUCUAUUAAUGUGCUUUGAUACAGCACUUUGGGGCAUCCAACUUCCUUCGCAAUUACCUUUUGAGGCUUUCCCUCCUUAUGGAGGGUGUCAAUGAUGGUUUUCUGCACAACUGUUACGUCAGCAGUCUUCCUCAUGAUUGUGAGUCCCACUGAACCAGACUGUGAGACCAUUUAAAGGCUUAGAAACCCUUUGCAGGUAUUAUGGCUUACUUAACUGAUUAGAGUGGGGAACUGUGAGCCUAGAAUAUUGCACUUUUUCACAAUAUUCUAAUUUACUGAGAUCGUGGAUUUGGAGUUUUCAUGAGCUGUAAGCCAUAAUCAUCGAACUUAUGACAAAUCACGGCUUGAACUAUCUUGCUUUGCAUGUAAUGCGUCUAUCUCAUAUAUUAGUUUCCCCUUUUACGUGGCAUUACUGAAAUAAAUUGUCAGAGUAUUUAUAUCGGCAGACAUUUUGUGCUAUGAUAGAAACUAAAAGUGUAUAUUCUGAGUCACUCUGAACAGACCAGACUCCAUUUUGUUAUUCCAAGUUAAAAAAGAGACACAGGAUUUCUUUCUGUAAGACUGGCCUCUUUGCCAGAGCUAAGGAAUGCAUAGCAUAGUAUAAACAAGUGCUAAGAAUAUAAUCAAAUCUAAACCCAGACAAUUGUGACAGAGAAGAUUAAAUAAUAAAAUUUAACUGUCUACAUAUAUAUAAGGUACCAUUGUAUGGAAAAGGGUAAACUUAGUUCAUGAUCUGUCAUAUCAGAAAUUAUGGCAGGAAUUGCAGACGCUAAGUCUGGACAAAAUUUAAGAAACCCUUUGAAAUUUGAAAUUAUAGCCACUAUCUAGAUAGGCCAAAAUGACGUCAAAAUAGCCACCAGGAAAAGUUAACUCUUUCCUGGAUAGGUAUGUUUAGUGGGACAAGACUGCCCUCUAUAGACCAAAUAACUAAUUUGCGAUCUGGAAGAUAACCACACCUCUAGUGCUUCUAUUGGGUUAUCAACUGAUGACGUACAGAGAGUCUGGCCCUUUAAAAGUUAAGACAAAGGGAAGAUAGAAAAGAGGAGGCAGAUGCAAGAUAUGCAAAGGAGAGGAGAGAGGAAUUGGAAGUUUGGGGAUUCCAACUCGGACAACAUCUGAGACUAACACUCUACUCCCAAAACUCUAACACUUAGAAUUUACUGACUUUCACCAACACCUCCAUGCAGAGAGAGACAUCCAAAUAAGUUCCUGAGACUAUCUACCAAUCGGAUGAAAUAUCUACUCAACUGGUAAUUAUACUGGUUUCAUUUAAUUUAUUAAAUUAAUUAAAAUGUAUUAAUAGCAUUAUAUAUGACUGGAUAAAGCACGGUCAGAUUUCCAUAUUAAGAAAUCUUAGUUAACUAAGAAUAUAUAGUUAUAACCAUUCCAUUCUGCAGGUGGAAUUAAGAAUAAUUAUAUAUUGAUGUGAUAUUAUCACGUGUUAGCAUACCGCUGUUUUUAUCCAGGUGUAUUGAUUUGUUCUAAAUUAAGAUAGAUAUCUUUUAGACAAAUUAAAAAUCUGCUUAUAUAAUAUGGUAGAUUCUCUUAUUGGAUGAUUUUAAGAAAAUGACUAAUGAACUGGGUUAAAUGUUAUUUUAUUUAAAAAUACAUAAGAAUAGAUCUUAACUACCUAGGAGAUCUAGCCAGCAUUGAAAGGGUUAUUCUAACUGUCUGCUAAAC